GGGAAUAGCUCAGUUGGUAGAGCACGACCUUGCCAAGGUCGGGGUCGCGAGUUAAAUUAUGCGUGGCAGUCUCCUUUCGGUCCA
rnacentral:tRNA from 1 species